UACGGGGGGGGCAAGCGUUGUUCGGAAUUACUGGGCGUAAAGGGCUCGUAGGUGGCCAACUAAGUCAGACGUGAAAUCCCUCGGCUUAACCGGGGAACUGCGUCUGAUACUGGAUGGCUUGAGUUUGGGAGAGGGACGCGGAAUUCCAGGUGUAGCGGUGAAAUGCGUAGAUAUCUGGAGGAACACCGGUGGCGAAGGCGGCGUCCUGGACCGAUAUUGACGCUGAGGCGCGAAAGCCAGGGGAGCAAACGGG
rnacentral:rRNA from 1 species